CCUACGGUGUGCAGCAGUGGGGAAUAUUGGACAAUGGGCGAAAGCCUGAUCCAGCCAUGCCGCGUGUGUGAAGAAGGCCUUCGGGUUGUAAAGCACUUUCAGUGGGGAAGAAAGCCUUGGGGCUAAUACCCUCGAGGAAGGACAUCACCCACAGAAGAAGCACCGGCUAACUCCGUGCCAGCAGCCGCGGUAAUACGGAGGGUGCGAGCGUUAAUCGGAAUUACUGGGCGUAAAGCGCGCGUAGGCGGUCUGAUAAGCCGGUUGUGAAAGCCCCGGGCUCAACCUGGGAAUGGCAUCCGGAACUGUCAGGCUAGAGUGCAGGAGAGGAAGGUAGAAUUCCCGGUGUAGCGGUGAAAUGCGUAGAGAUCGGGAGGAAUACCAGUGGCGAAGGCGGCCUUCUGGACUGACACUGACGCUGAGGUGCGAAAGCGUGGGUAGCAAACAGGAUUAGAUACCCGGGUAGUC
rnacentral:rRNA from 1 species